GACGAACGCUGGCGGCGCGCCUAACACAUGCAAGUCGAACGAGCGAGAGAGAGCUUGCUUUCUCAAGCGAGUGGCGAACGGGUGAGUAACGCGUGAGGAACCUGCCUCAAAGAGGGGGACAACAGUUGGAAACGACUGCUAAUACCGCAUAAGCCCACAGCUCGGCAUCGAGCAGAGGAAAAGGAGUGAUCCGCUUUGAGAUGGCCUCGCGUCCGAUUAGCUGGUUGGUGAGGUAACGGCCCACCAAGGCGACGAUCGGUAGCCGGACUGAGAGGUUGAACGGCCACAUUGGGACUGAGACACGGCCCAG
rnacentral:rRNA from 1 species